rnacentral:rRNA from 1 species
CUACGGGCGGCACCAGUGAGGGAUAUUGCACAAUGGGGGGAACCCUGAUGCAGCAACGCCGCGUGGAGGAUGACGCAUUUCGGUGUGUAAACUCCUUUUAUAUGUCAAGAAAAUGACGGUAGCAUAUGAAUAAGCACCGGCUAACUCCGUGCCAGCAGCCGCGGUAAUACGGAGGGUGCAAGCGUUACUCGGAAUCACUGGGCGUAAAGGACGCGUAGGCGGGUUGGAAAGUCAGGUGUGAAAUCCUACAGCUUAACUGUAGAACUGCACUUGAAACUUCUAAUCUAGAGUAUGGGAGGGGGAGAUGGAAUUAGUGGUGUAGGGGUAAUAUCCGUAGAUAUCACUAGGAAUACCUAAAGCGAAGGCGAUCUCCUGGAACAUUACUGACGCUAAGGCGUGAAAGCGUGGGGAGCAAACAGGAUUAGAUACCCUAGUAGUC